GAUGAAGAACGUAGCGAAAUGCGAUAAGUAGUGUGAAUUGCAGAAUUCAGUGAAUCAUCGAGUCUUUGAACGCACAUUGCGCCCCCUGGUAUUCCGGGGGGCAUGCCUGUCCGAGCGUCAUUGCUGCCCUCAAGCACGGCUUGUGUGUUGGGCCCCGUCCUCCGAUCCCGGGGGACGGGCCCGAAAGGCAGCGGCGGCACCGCGUCCGGUCCUCGAGCGUAUGGGGCUUUGUCACCCGCUCUGUAGGCCCGGCCGGCGCUUGCCGAUCAACCCAAAUUUUUAUCCAGGUUGACCUCGGAUCAGGUAGGGAUACCCGCUGAACUUAAGCAUAUCAAUAAGCGGAGGA
rnacentral:misc_RNA from 1 species